ensembl:lncRNA
AAAAAAAAAAAAAAACAGGAAAUAUUUUUAAAUGAGAAAGAGCUAUCAGGAAUUUAAACAGGAAAGACUGAGUACUGUUUGUUGCUGCAGAAUGCUAAUGCUGUAUGCAGAAUGACCAUUGCCCUGAAGAUCUGCGCUUUUGACGGGAAGUCAAUCUGAGGUCAGACAAACCAGGUCAGCAGUGCAGACUAGUCCACAAGGCACGUAGCUGGUUAAAGAAGCAGAAAAUGGAACUAGAGACAAGGGAGUCAGAUUGCAAACCAGAAUUAUGUUCAGAAGAAGAUCUAGGUCACUGUAAAGAGAGCAAAGUGUGAGAGCCAGAGGAGGCAGGAUACCAAGCCAAGGUUUCCGUUCCUACGGAACUGGAUCUGAUAUUACUUUAUUGUUUAUUUAGAAAGUGGCAAUAUGUUGUUAUACAUGGAAAUACUGUGAGAAAUAAACCUGAUGUUAACAUUGAAUGAGUGCUGCCAAGAUAGCCCAUACUACAGUAGGCCAGUUAGCCUGAAAACAUCCUGGACAAAAUAACAAAACAGGUGCACAAUUCACUUUCUUAUGAACUAACAAUUAGGAAUAAAAUUAAUUCUAAUCAACAUUUUACUGGAUUUUGUUCUCUGGAAAAAAAAAAGUGAAAAUCUGUACAGUUUUUGACUAAGUAUUUCAUGACAUUCAAAUUGAAAUUGCAGCAAUGUGCUUUAUCUGUGAUUCAGACCUUAGAGAUAUUUAAGAUAAGUGAGAUGACAGAUUUUUUUAGAUGUACAUAUUCUUUUGCUUUAUAUGGAUGUGUAAUUUUGUCAUUCAUGACAUUUGUGUAAAUGUGAUGUCCAGAUUCUAACUGUUGUGGAAGGGUUCUAUAGAAUACAGGAUUAAUUUCUGUUCUGUUCACAUGCUGUUUGAUAUCUUUGAAGUAAAUAUCAUACCACAGCUGAUAAUGUUUGCGCAUGGGAGUGUAGGGGUUGUAGAUGACCUCUGAAGACAUCUAGUCCACCCCCACCCCGCUAAUGCAUGUUCCCUACAAUAAGUUACCCAGGAAGGCAUCCAAGUGGGUUUUGAAUAUCUCCAGAGAAGACUCCACAGCCUUUCUGGGCAGCCUUUUCCAGUGCUCAGUAACCCUCAAAGAAGUUUAUCCUCAUGUUUUGACAGAACUUCCUGUGUUCCAGUUUGUGCCCAUUACCCCUUGUUCUGUUGCUGGGCACCGUUGAAAAGAGCCUGGCCUCAUCUACUUGACUGCUGCCCAUUAGAUAUUUGUAAGCAUUGAUAAGAUCCUCGCUCAGUGUCCUCUGAGCUGAGCAGUUCCAGGUAUCUCAGCUUUUCCUUGUAAGGGAAAUGUUCCAGUCAUCAUCAGGAUGACACACAGGCUGACAAAUCAUUAACUAAUAAUGGGUCUAGCACAUUUGUACAGAAUGACCUAGAGCAGUUAUAAUGCUGGACCAUUUCUGAGAAGAAAUGGCUUCAAGCUGCGCCAGGGAAGGUUCAGGCUGGACGUUAGGAAAUACUGCUCUGAAAGGGUGGUCAGGCACUGGAAUGGGCUGCCCAGAGAGGUGGUGGAGUCACCGAGCCUGGUGGUGUUCAAAGAGCGUUUGGAUGUUGUGUUGAGGGACAUGGUUUAGUGAGAACCAUUGGUGAAGGGCAAACGAAUGGUUGGACUGGAUGAUCCUGUGGGUCUUUUCCAACCGUAGCGAUUCUGAUUCUAUGAUUCUAAGAUGUGUUUUAUUUCAGCCAUACACAAAACUUUAUGUGUGAGAAUAGAGUAUUAUUCAUUGUGUUAUAGUAUGUAACGACUCCAGAAAUGACUGUAUUAAGAAAUAAAUGAAAAUGUGUAAUGUAACGCUGAGGAAAAAAAUUAUGUACAUAUUAUAUAUAUAUAAUUCCAUAUAUGUGAUAUUUAUGUAGGUAAACAAAGAAUAAGUUUAUGAACAGAUAUUUAUUUCUUCUUGAAGUUUUGAUUAGACUACGAUUGAAAUGCUACUUAAAGAGCUAGUGUGGAACUACCAUAAAAGGAAAUUGAAAAUCUACAGUCAGUGUAAAACUAGUCAAAUGUAAAAACAGUCAUAAAAAUGACUGGGGAGAAUUCUCUAAUAAAAAUGGUAAGGAAUGUGAGAGCCAACAGAAGGAGCUGGCUGCAGUGUGCCUAACUUCACCUUGGACAGAUUCUUCAGAAGGCAUUGCACAGCUGGAAUUCAGAGCAAUCCUCUGAUACCACACACUGAGAAGACUGUUGGAACUUACUUAUCUCAGAUGACAAGUUUUAUAUGGAAAAUCAAACUAGAGACAGUAAAUGCCCUCAACGUGAUCUUGUGAAAGAGCCAUGGAAGAAGAGCUUUGCGUUGCCUUGCUUCAGUGAGGGCAUAUGGGCAGUGCCAUGCUUGGAUUGCAGAGCUGGAUCUCCUGCUCCUAUGGCUCCUCUGCACAGCUUUGAAGGUCUGUAUCUGUGUAUCUGCCUCUACUAAUGUGCAUCCUACAAAACAGGCACAAACAUUCGUAGCUUAUUAUGCCCUAUUUAAGGCCACAGUAAGACACCCAAAAACCUAGAUUUCAGGGAUGAAGAACAAUAAAGAUAUCGUACAAGUUUGCUCUGGAAUAAGAAUUGUGCUAUGGUCACACCAGUGUGGACUGCCUGAAUAUAAAUAUUAUUUUUCAUACUGAAUUUAACUUCCUCUUCAUAUGUAUGUGUGUGCAUAUGUAUCUAUGUAUAUAUAUGUGUGUUUAUUCACAAGAAUGUAACAGCUUCUAGUGGGUUGAAGCAGGCAGUGGGGUGUUCUCUCUAUUCAUACAUUUCUGCUUUUUAAUAGUGUCUAUUCAGAGCAAUACAAAAGCCUGAUUGAAUGCUGGGAGAAAUUUUGUAUCGUAGAGUCAUUUAAAUGUGGACUGGGGCAUUCUCUGGACAGUUACAUAAAAAUGACAAGUGACCCUCUGUACAAUAGUUGCUUUCAACAUGAUCCAAGGCCAAGGCAGGCUUUUGACAGUUACAUAAUGCAGAUGGGUUCUGAUCAGCCAACACUAAAAUGUUCAGCACUGCACAAAAUGAGAAUCAUAUUUAUCUAAAAACUGAAACAAACAAACAAACAAAAAACAGACAAAAGUUUUCAUCUUCAGAAUGCCAAUUAAUUCUCCAUGUAAUUAAAUUCAAAUUUAGAAAUCUUUAUUUCAGUCUGAACGCUAAUGGGAAGAUUGGGAAAGGCUUAAGUAUGAAUCUGGGAGUUCGAACUUUGAUGCCUUUUUGUUUGAAUACAUUUUCUGUGCAUUGUACAUGUUUUAUGAAAUGGCAGAUCUAUCUGGGAUAUACAUCUAGCAUAUAUAUGUGGUAUUUUUCUGUGUAUGAUAUGUGUGUUUUUUAUUAAGAAAUAUUUUACUAUGCCUUUAAAAUAACUGUAGAAUAUUUUGGGUACUGAAUUCACUAAUCCAAAUAAUAUAGCUUUUUCACUAGCAUGCUGCCACCUCUGUUUUUCUUGUUGCUUUUUCCACUGCAAAAAUUGUUCCUUAGUGCUUUAUGCUUAUUUGCAAUUCCUUAGGCCAAAACAAUAAUUUCACUGAAAAAAAACAUCAAGAAUCUAUCUGAAAAAAUAAAAUACACAUGCAUCAGUAAACACCACAUUGCAGCAGUGUGCAUUUCCUCUACUCCAAAUGGUAAUAAAGUCUUAAACUACAUGGAAUUGUGGCAUUUCACUGAACUGAAUUUAUACUGCAAAAGCCAAAGGCUUUACAAACAUAUUUUUAAUAUGCUGCAGGGGAGCUAUAUCACAGGCUUGCUAUCUCUACUAUCAUUUUUUCACUGUAACCCAAAGAGAAACCUGUUCCUAUUGAAGGAUAAUUUAUGGUCAUCCUUAAAUUCUUUCUUUCAUUUCCAAGUUGACAACAAGAAUGUUAAUUACUGGCAUACAGGAGUAGUAAUAACUUGAAAUUAAUGAUCCUUUUCUGGUGUCCCUUUUUUGAGAAUAAUUGACCCC